CCUACGGGUGGCAGCAGUGAGGAAUAUUGGUCAAUGGACGAGAGUCUGAACCAGCCAAGUAGCGUGAAGGAUGACUGCCCUAUGGGUUGUAAACUUCUUUUAUAUGGGAAUAAAAUGUUCCACGUGUGGGAUUUUGUAUGUACCAUAUGAAUAAGGAUCGGCUAACUCCGUGCCAGCAGCCGCGGUAAUACGGAGGGUCCGAGCGUUAUCCGGAUUUAUUGGGUUUAACGGGAGCGUAGGUGGAUUGUUAAGGCAGGUGUGAAAGUUUGCGGCUCAACCGUAAAAUUGCAGUUGAAACUGGCAGUCUUGAGUACAGGAGAGGUGGGCGGAAUUCGUGGUGUAGCGGUGAAAUGCUUAGAUAUCACGAAGAACUCCGAUUGCGAAGGCAGUUCACUGGACUGCAACUGACACUGAGGCUCGAAAGUGUGGGUAUCAAACAGGAUUAGAUACCCCUGUAGUC
rnacentral:rRNA from 1 species